AUGCCCAACACAACCCGCUUAGCCAUGCCGCGAACUCGAACCCGAACACAGGCACUAUCUGUGCAGCCACAGCCACUGGUCAUCCUGCCGCUUGCGCUCCUCCUUCUGCUCUGCAUAGUCGGCCGAGCAGCCUGCGUCGCCCUCGUUUCCGCCAACAUUCGGCUGCCGUCACAGCGCUUCUUCUAUGCCGCUGCCACGCCCUCGGCCGCCACCUCACAGACCAAGGUGCGACUGCUCCGUCAGGCGGAUGACCUGGAUGCGACGUCUUCGCAGCCAGUAGAAGAGGGCAGCUGCUGUCAGGGAGCAGCCGCCGCGGCCGGAAAGCCGAUAGCAGUGCCUCUGUCCGUAUCAGAGCUGAGCAACGUUACGGCCGACUACGAUGUUUCGGGAGAAAUCUCUUCCAAGGAAAACUUUAAGCGCAGCGUCACAAGAUCUGCCGUUAGGAACGCCACACCGGCUAGCUGCUCGCCGCAGCCAACGAUAGUUGAGCUGAAGCCACCUGGCGAGGAGGAGGCCAACUAUUAUUACACGCCCUCCUGCACUCGAAUCAGCCGCUGCAAUGGCUGCUGCGGGUCCACGCUGAUCUCCUGCCAGCCCACGGAGACGGAAAUUGUUCAGCUGCGCGUCCGAAAGGUGGAUCGAGCUGCCACCGGCGGACGACGGCCGUUUGCCAUUGUGUCUGUGGAGCAGCACAAAGCCUGUCGGUGUGAUUGCCGCACCAAGGCUGAAGACUGCAAUGUGUAUCAGUCGUACCGCAAGGAUCUGUGCCGCUGCGAGUGCCACAACCUGGAUGCGAGGGACAAGUGCCUGGAGCAGGCGGACAGCAAGUACUGGGACGAUGCCAAUUGUACUUGCGUGUGCCGUUACAAUCAGAGCUGCACCACCGGCACCGUCUUUGAUGAGACGCAGUGCAAGUGCACCGACCUCCUGGGAAAUGGGUUUCUGAUCUAGUCUGGUCUGGGAAUCGUUUGUGCUCGUCCUUGAUUGGUUUGCGGUGGGUUCCUGGGUUCCUGGUGGUGGCUACUUAGUUUAAGAGUUUCUAUCUUUGGCAUGUUCCACAAGCUUCAAGCUGAGGGUCACAGAAAUCGCUAUGAAUAUAUGAAAUCUAUUCAAAUGGCCCUGAAAACUAUGCCUUAAAUUUUGUAAAAAUAAUCUUUAUCACAGCUCACAGCGUGAGCUUAUAAUUAUUGGGAUUUCUGUGACAAAUAUAAUUAAAUAAAUAUUUUAAAUUUAAUAAAAAGGCCUAAAAUCCAUGCCUAAAAGUAUACAUUUAUCAGUUCUCUUAGCAACCUCGUUUUUAGACCUCUUAACUAGGUAUUACCUCUGAAAGUUUAGGAUAAAAAAAUUUAGAAAUUUAUAUUUUCAAAUUAUUGAAACCAAACAUUUCCCUCAUUUUAAUUUGUACGAGUUUUUAAUGUGCUAAACAGCUAACUUUUUGUAAAUUUAUAGGUAUUUCAAAUAUUUAAUUUUAAACAAUGUAUACAUGUAUUUAUUAGGCCGCCAUUCAGGUUCCACAAGCCACAAAACUAUCAUAGUUUUAUUUAUCCAAGUGUUAUCACAUCCAGCUGUUUAUAUUGUCUAUAUACAUUAGUUGUUUAACCAACUGUUGGGCGUUAAACAAUAAAUCUAAUUAGCUGUCACUCAAAGUCUUCCAUGUAAUCUAAGUAUUUUCAUUGUCUAUAUCACUUUUUACACAUGUAUGUUUUUACCUUUGCUUUUCUUUGUAUUUCAUUUUAGAUCAAAAAAUUCGAGUAUUAUUCUUAGAGUCCACAAUCAAUGCAAUCCAAACACACACACACACACACUACACACAGAAAAUUGUUAAUAUUUGAUUGCAAAAAUGUAUAACUAUUAAUGAACUUGUGAUAUGUGAUAUCGUUGACUUGAUUCGUUUCUUAAAACUAACUGAAAUUGGCGUCUGUUGUUUAGCGAUUGAUUGGUUAAGGAUAUUCCAAUAUAUGUAACUUAUAGCUGAGUUGAGGCAGAAAUGAAAGUGAAGAUAAGAGGAGACAACGUAAUUUGUUUGUUGCAUUGUCCAUCGGCACCCAUAGAUGUCCUGGAUCGCAAACGCUUUAUUGUUCAGGCCGUGCAGGUGGAUCCGGAUAACACCACGUUGUACAGUGUUUAAGGAGAGAGUGCAGAGGAGAGGAGUCACCUGAGAGCCGCCUGAGAGUACUGCGAAAGAAAUUACCCAAGAAUUACUUACACUAAGCGUAAUUGCACAUGUACUUUAUGUAUUAUUUAUAGUUAUCGAUUAAAUCUAAGCUACUAUUACAUUCCCCCAACUAA